CCUCGGCCUUCGGGUUGUAGCCUUUAUCUCUUCCACGCCUCUUCCGAGUCGCUAAUCACUUUGUUGGACUUUCCAUCCAUCGUGAUCGUCAAACAAAAACGCUGUUCCUUUCACAACCAAUCUACAUAAAGAAAAUUCUCCAGCGCUUCAACAUGGCCAACUGUCGUCCAAGAAACCUUCCAGCGGAGCCAGGUCACCAUCUGCAUAGAAAUGCAGAAAAAGGAAGACAAGAAGAGGCGAUGCCCUAUAGAGAAGCUGUUGGCUCUCUCAUGUAUCUAAUAAUGGCAACCAGGCCCGACAUUUCUUUCUCUGUAGGGCAAGUUUCACAAUUCUGUGAGGAUCCAGAGCCGAGCCACUGGGAAGCAGUGAAGCGAAAUUUGUCCUAUCUUCAAGAUACUUCAAGCCAUGGCAUUCCUUUUGGUCAAGGGACGGACGGACUCAAAGGCUUCACAGACUCCGACUACGCUGGAGAUGUCGUCUCCCGCCGCUCCACGACGGGUUUUAUUUUCCUUCCUCACGGAGGACCUGUCGGCUGGAGCAGUCGUCGCCAGUCAUCCGUCGCCCUCUCAAAAACCGAGUCGGAGUUCGUGGCCGCUUGUGAAGCAGCACGAGAAGGAGUCUGGCUUCAGCGCCUUUUAGUGGACAUAAAUCUUGGAUCGGAAAGGCCGCUCCGCAUCAUGUGUGACAAUCAGUCAGCUAUCCAGCUGAUAAGGUGUUUCAUCAGAGAACGAAACACAUAGAUGUCCGUUUCCACUACGUACGUGAGCUUCAGGAGAAAGGAGAUAUCAACGUAAUCUAUGUGUCAACUGACAAUCAGCUUGCAGAUCCGUUCACCAAGCCUUUGCCUAAUCCUCGAUUCUCAAUUCUGCGGGAGUUGGCUGGAAUUGUUCCAGUCCCGACUGAUCCCAACUAGUUUUUCUUCUAAUCCAAGAGGGGCAAGAACACUGUCAACAACAAAUAUAUAUUUUUUUUUCUUUUGGUUGUUAUGUUACAUGUGAUAAAGUUUUUUUUUUGUUUGGAUUCUGUUUUGGUUAUGUUUGAGGGGAGUGUUGAGAUUUUCAACAAACACGACCUUCACCGAGUGACCGCCAGAUCUAUGCGAAGAAAGGGAGGCAGGUCCUCGGCCUUCGGGUUGUAGCCUUUAUCUCUUCCUCAAUUCUUUUUCUUUUCUUCUGCUUCUGACCACGCUUAGUGAAUGGACACGAAGAGUUCGUUUAUUCUCUCUACAGAAAUAUCUGAUUGUUCUUUUUGAUUAAGUGUGCUUCAUUCCAUCUUCAACACCGAAGUUCUUGGACCCAUCUGCAAGAGAUGCGAAAGAAACACCUCAUCACUGUACGAUACGAAAAAGGGAUUGUGUCCUAGAUGUUUUAAUAAAGAUUCUUUGUUGAAUCCAGCUUCUCAAAUACCCAGUUAUUUGUACUUUGGUAAAGAAGAAAAGAGAGAAAGUUUAACCCUGGUCUUCACUUGUACACGACAUUCCGGAGGUGAUAAUUUCUCAAACGAAGAAAAAACUUUUAAAACUCUGGAAAUGUCAUGCAGACAAUCUCAAAGAAGUGACGGCCCAUUUGGAAUAGUUAACCGUCCUGGUUAUCCAACGACAAUUAAAUUUGUAGGAAGAUUUAGUGCACGAAACGCAUGCGCAAUGUCUCCUAUAUCGGAAAUGUCGGAUAUUAGGGGCACACAUAAAUGUGAUAUUCAACCACUUUGUUCCUUGCCAGAUCAUAUGAUCGGUAACUGCUUCCCGGGUGAUAUAGCAGUGAUUCUUGUUUCACAACCUGCUAGCCUAACUAUCGCUCCCUAAUAUAUGGCAACUUUUUUGUCUGAAAUAAUGUUGCGUGGCAUACCGGAAGACAGCUUCUACAUUUUGAUUAAAGUCUAUUUCACAACCCACUUUUUACUAUACUUUCUACUUUUAUUUUACUUAAUUCCUCAUUAUUUUCUAUAGAAACUGGUAGUUUAACUUCAAAAUACAUAAUUUAUUAUAUUAUACUUUUUUAUUAUACUUUUUACUUUACUUAAUGGCACAACUCCUCGGAUGAACACACACGCAUGAAGUUUGGUAUUGUACUGGUUGCAAAAAAAAAUUUAAGAACGUUGCAAAAUUAAUGCAACAUUGCCAUUUAGUACAAUAUUGAUUACAGUGAUAUAGACUAUUAAUGCUAUCCGAAAAUAACAACUCGUAUCCCAACGAUAUAGUCUUGGAUUAGUGAUCUAGAGGUUUGUGGUUCGGGCCUGCCUCAAACUUGAAACAAUAGGAUUUUAUUUUGUUAAUGGAGCAAAGUAAAAUAUCAUUAGUUUAAUAUCGGACUGUAGUUAAGUAACACUUAAAGAUUGCCAUAUGCUGCUCAAGUCUUUUUUUAUUUUUUGUAUGGAGGGAGACCCC
rnacentral:lncRNA from 1 species